CUGCCUACGGGACGCAGCAGUGAGGAAUAUUGGUCAAUGGCCGUAAGGCUGAACCAGCCAAGUAGCGUGAGGGAAGACUGCCCUAUGGGUUGUAAACCUCUUUUAUGCGGGGAUAAAGGUGUCCACGUGUGGAUGUUUGCAGGUACCGCAUGAAUAAGGACCGGCUAAUUCCGUGCCAGCAGCCGCGGUAAUACGGAGGAUGCGAGCGUUAUCCGGAUUUAUUGGGUUUAAAGGGUGCGCAGGCGGUCUGUUAAGUCAGCGGUCAAAGCCCGGGGCUCAACCCCGGCCCGCCGUUGAAACUGGCG
rnacentral:rRNA from 1 species